GUAAACUUCCUCCAUCCUUAAAGGAACUUUGAAAGCCCCACUGGGAGCUGGCACAGGGGCAGUUGGAAGGAACCCACUGCCUCCAGAAAUGGCUUUACCAUCAGCAACAAGUCAGUGCUGCUGGGGACCAGCUGGCCAGGUUAGCUGCUCUUGUCUAAACAUGGCUCUUAAUCACAGCAGUGUCUUGCAGCCUCUUGGGCCUCAGUGGGAAACACGUGGCAAUGACAUCACUCCCCUGGCUGGACCAGACAGGCACUUUGGGGGAACUUCCAUGUUUAGUAAAGUUGCCCUGAUGGUCUCCAACUGAAGAGAACAUUAUCUGGGGAGUGGGGCAAUUUGUGUUUGAGGUUUAUGCCCUACCUCUGCCCUCUUGCCCUUGGCUACUGUUUAGCAUACUAGCCCUGCACCUAGUCCUGACACCGGCAGGACCUGCUCACAUUUGCACGCAUCAGCUUGUACAGAAAGGGCUUCAUUCUUAAGGAACCUCGUCCACGCCAAGAUUUGUUUGGUUAGCUCAGAGUUCCACUUUCUUGAAGCAAAUCAGAAGGUCAAAGAUUCAUCGAAAAGACGCUCAACAACUUCCUACCACUUUCUCCUAGCAACACUUCCUCGCUUGACAGGUCAGUCUGUUCUGUCAAGACUUCCUGAGAGAACACAGAAGCGGUUAACUCUGCAAGUGCCCCGCGUGAGCGCUAGGAUCGCAGUGAGCUGAUACAGCCUACUCCACACCCCAACUCCUAAGCCACUAGCCAGAACCAGCCGGUUUCUUUAUAAGUCAUAAAAACAGUCCCUGGGUUGAUGGCCGCCUGGCCACCUAAUCGGUGGACACUGGAAAAAAUACACUUAGUGCUGCUUAAUCGCCCUUCCCAGCAGGGCACUUGUGAGCUGUCUGAAUAAAGGAUGGAGAAAGAGACAAGCCUGAGUUGCGAGUCCAGCCUUGCCAAGAGAGCAGAUCAGCCUGAGUGAGCAAGACUUCGGCCUCCAGGCUACACCCACCCUGGGUGGGCAGGCCAGUUUUACAGCAUGCUCUGAGAGGCAAUGGGCUAUCCUGCUUCCUGCCACCUUCUCUCUGGGUUGGUAAGACGGGAGCACCAUAUUGCUUUGUUUCCCUCUUCUGGUCCAGACCCAAAGAGGAGGGGCCGGAGGAAAGAGCCAGGGACACCUUGGAAAGGGCAGUUUGGCUCCAAACAGCUUGAGAUCAACAUUCCUGCUCUCCUGUUCUGGCCACAAUGCUGAAGCCUCUCAAUCAGAAAUGUAAUCACAUCCCAAUUGGCGCAUCUCAGAACUGAGCUGCUUGGCUUGGCUGGAACUGUUCCCUGGAGCCUGGGCUUCGCAGUCAUGGAGAGAUGCUCAAACCCAAUCCCCUGAGAGUCCUGGGGGCGAAGGACACCAGAUCACAAUUGCUAUUAACACUUGCUAGGAUUUCCAAAAGCCCGUGGUACUGGCGGGCCCGGGACCUUGCUCCUUACCGCAGUGGUAGACUGAGGAACUAGAGAUUCUGCAGGGGAUCCUGGCCAAGGUCAGGGUUGGUGGCAGGGGCAGCGUUCAGGAUCUAGUCAGAGUGACUUUUUAGCUGUACCACUAAGUGACCUCUUCCCCAGGACAUGGGUAUUUCCCUAGGACAGGGGCAUUUCCCAAAUGCUGUGUUUAGAGUCCAUGGUAGCCUGUCCAACAUAUCCAUCUGCUUCUCUAGCCAACUUCUGCUCUGGGUUGACUGGGAAGCAGCCAGCAACACCAGUCUCUUGCAGCAGCUGGACUGCUCUGUGGGUACAAUGAAUUCCCAGUUUUCCUUGCUCAUCUAUCUGAUUUGGGAAUUAUGCAAGUGACUGGCUUCUGAGACCUAUCAGGGACCAAGCUGGUAAAAGCAGAAUCCACCAAGUAAUAAAAAUGUCAGGUGCCUUAGUCUCAGGGGCGGAGCCCCAAUCUUAUUUAUGCACAAGGAAGUUGAGAGCCAGGGGCAUGAAGAUCACUUGGAGAGGAGAAAGCCAAGCUGGAAGUGCAUUCUGGGUACUGCAAUGCCCUGGAUACUGCUCUUCAUCCACCAAGUUAUUCCUCAGGACUGACCAGGUGGGAAUGGACUCGGGUGUAGAAAGAAAAAGAGGGACUGGGAGAGAAGGAAGAAAUGAAAGGGAGAUGGGGGAAGAGAGAGGGAGAGGGAGGGAGAGAGAGAGAGAACACUCUGAAUCCCCAAAGGCAUAUCCAAGUAGAUAUAUUGAGAAUUAUCCUGUUUCCUCUGUCUCUUACUCUGUCAGCUAUACAGAAACACUGUGAAGUAAAACUGCUGUGUGGAGUGUGUAA